rnacentral:tRNA from 1 species
GCAGUGGUGGUUCAGUGGUAGAAGUCUGACUUUCCAUAUCAGAGACCCAGGUUCAAUUCCUAGCCAAUGCA